AUUGAACGCUGGCGGCAUGCUUUACACAUGCAAGUCGAACGGCAGCGCGGGGGCAACCUGGCGGCGAGUGGCGAACGGGUGAGUAAUAUAUCGGAACGUACCCAAGAGUGGGGGAUAACGUAGCGAAAGUUACGCUAAUACCGCAUACGAUCUACGGAUGAAAGUGGGGGAUCGCAAGAACCUCAUGCUCCUGGAGCGGCCGAUAUCUGAUUAGCUAGUUGGUGAGGUAAAGGCUCACCAAGGCGACGAUCAGUAGCUGGUCUGAGAGGACGACCAGCCACACUGGGACUGAGACACGGCCCAGACUCCUACGGGAGGCAGCAGUGGGGAAUUUUGGACAGUGGGCGCAAGCCUGAUCCAGCAAUGCCGCGUGAGUGAAGAAGGCCUUCGGGUUGUAAAGCUCUUUUGUCAGGGAAGAAACGGUUCCGGCUAAUAUCCGGAAUCAAUGACGGUACCUGAAGAAUAAGCACCGGCUAACUACGUGCCAGCAGCCGCGGUAUUACGUAGGGUGCAAGCGUUAAUCGGAAUUACUGGGCGUUAAGCGUGCGCAGGCGG
rnacentral:rRNA from 1 species